rnacentral:misc_RNA from 1 species
UACAAUACAGCUCGCACCAGAGACCUUAUCACAAUGGACUCCAUCCCACGAGCAGCAAUCACCUUGGAGCUUCCAUGAUUCAGACUUUGGACCAGCAAGAGGAUCUAUGGAAGCGUUAAUAUCAAUAACGAAGCUCUGGAUGAAUUGCAGCAAGGCGGAGUUCUCAUCACCAUGGCACAGUGGAUUAUGUUUAGGGGAAAGAGCAGAAAUGUUAUGGACAUGGGAAAAUGUUGGUAAGAAAAUCAAGUUUAG